rnacentral:rRNA from 1 species
AAUGAACGCUGGCGGCAGGCCUAACACAUGCAAGUCGAACGAGUGGCGGACGGGGGAGCAAUACAUGUGAAUCUACUCUGUUGUGGGGGAGAACGUAGGGAAACAUACGCUAAUACCGCAUACGCUGGAAUGAGCGGGGGUUGGAUUCGCUAGUUGGGGGGGUAAAGGCCCACCAAGGCGACGAUCCGUAGCUGGUCUGUGAUGAUGAUCAGCAACACUGGAACGGAGCCACGGCCCAGACUCCUACGGGAGGCAGCAGUGGGGAAUAUUUGAGAGUGGGCGCAAGCCUGGUCCAGCCAUGCCGCGUGGGUGAAGAAGUCCUUGGGCUUGUAAAGCCCUUUUGUUGGGAAAGCGGUAUCCAAAGAAUAAGCACCGGCUAACUUCGUGCCAGCAGCCGCGGUAAUUC